rnacentral:lncRNA from 1 species
UGCCAUCAUCCUGGUCGGCAUUUUACAAGUACAUGGCUGAGAGCAAUCAGUCGGCAUUUUACAAGUACCUGGCUGAGAGCAAUCGUUCAGGAAUGUCGACAUCCUCGGCAGCGGAAAACUAAAGGAGUUGAGUGAGCUCUGCUCGAUUGGUUUUUGUAGUUUCUUUUUUUUUUUUCCUCAAGUGAUCUGGCAUGUAUCAAUUAGUUUGUAAAGUUAUUGUAUUGUCUCAAGUCCGGUAAGAUGCGCGAACGUAUAGCAUGGAUCACAAACUCAUUUCAUAGAUUAUUUUUUUGUAUAAUUAUAUAAUUUAUAGGCUUUGCUUAAAAAAUUAAAAAAGAAAAAAAGAAUUGUAUUACAAUUGGUAUGAGGCAUGCUUGUGUGUGUCAUAUCAGUUGCUGAACAAACUUUGCCUUUUAGUUUUGUAGGCACUACCAUCUCAAAUUCUUUGUUAUCAUGAAUGAGUAUUUUUUUUCUUUUUUUUCUUUUUUAACAAAUCAUAAAUGAGAUUAAGAUAAUCUUUUUUUAAAAAAGAAAAAAAAUGGAGAUUUCUUUUAUUUUUCCUUAAAAAACUGAAGACAAAUUUAGAAGGAAGUGAGAGACGGAGAAUUAAAGCAAUUUUAUUCACAAAUGUAAUGUAUUUGGUGCAGCAAUACAAACUAAUAAAUUAUAAUUUAUGAGACUAGUUUACAGAAUCUUAUAUAUAAAAUUAUAUCCUCUGAAUAAAAAUCUUCUCACCUCUUUUGACUUCUCAUCUAAUUUACAGAAUCUUAUAUAUAUAACACAUUUUUAUAAAACAAAACAGAAAAAAAAAUUAUAUAUAAUUGUCACAAGGACUAUUUCAUUUGCACAUAGUACGCAAUUGGUCACUAAAGUUAUUUGAGGAGAAAAUUUACAUGAGAUGGGUACAUCAUAUUAUCAGUAUUUUAGUUUAAAUUUGAACAUACUAGAAUGGUCUCUCAUAAAUUUUUCUCCAAUUUGAGAGAUGGUGGGGGAGUGGGGUUAAAGUGCAUCUACAUAGAAUAGAAUUAAUUAUAAUUAAAUUUACUUUUUAAAACUAUUUUAACUAGAAGUAGUAGUAAUUCUUUUUAUUAUUGUUAUUCCAAUUAUAUCAAAAUCUCGUGACUCGUGAUCAAAUUAAGUGCUUCAUUAAAUUGUUUUAGGUGACGUACGGUAUGGAGUUGUUAUAAAUCUAUAUAGAUAGUAAAAUAUUUAAUUUUGCUUGUCGUAAACUUUUAAUUUGCAUGGGUUAAAAAAGAAAAAAAGAAAAAAGAAAUUGACUUAUUAAUUAAUUAACAAUUAUAGAAAGACUAAAUAGAAAAUUAUUGAAGUUGCGUGAGAAAGCUCUCGGGAAAAGGGGCUCCAGAUUUCCUUUCCCUGGCUUCGUGCGUUUCCUGUUUGCCCUUUCGAGCACGACAUUCGAAUCCAAUACUUAAUAAUAAAGAUAUAAUAUUAUUAUAAUACUAAUAAUUAACAUUAAAAUAUUAAAAAUAGGGAAAAAAAAAUCCAAAUUUUUACUGGUAUGUAACGCAGGGCCAAAACGAUAGCGAAACAUCAAAUUGUUUUUAUUUCAACCUUCGCGCAACUUCCGGUGACAUAAUUUUUCUCUGUUUCAGGUACAUACAUACCCAAAACUAGACUUUGCAUGUAUCAUUCUUGUAUUUUUGUAAUUCAUUCACAUAUUCUUCUUUUCUUUUCUUUUUCUUUUCUUUUUUGCUGUAUUUUUUUUAUGAAACACUCUGUUUCAGUUCUGUUUCUGGUUUUGUUUCAGUUUGAUAUUAUUGGUUCCGUUCGGUUCUACUCUGUUCUCUGUUGUAUGUAUAUAUGUAUGUAUUUUUGGCCUUGAAUUGCUUUGAUCACCGGUUUUGUUAUUCUUUUAUCGUGAAUUUUAGACACCCGUUAAACUUGUUUGGCCAUGUAUUCACUUGAUUGUUACAUUCAGCUGCCAUCUUCAUGGUGGGUUUGUAAGAUAGUCUCUGACUAACAUAUGGCAUUGAUUAUGAAUGAUGGUUUUGUGAGAUACAUCAUACAGACGUUAACUUGUAUUAACAUGUACUUCCUUUAUUUAAAAGAUUAUUGUUUUUCUGGCUUUUUUUUUUUUGUUUGAAAUGCCCCUUUUUGCAUUUUAUAGGUGAAAGGAAAAAAACAUAAUAUCGCAGCACUAGAACAAAGGAGCCUAUUCUGGUACCUAUUGUCCAAGGAAGCUUCUGUAUAUUCGGUAGGCACUACCAUGGAAGUGAAAUCUUACCAGAGCCAGGUGGAGUCAUUGCUGAAGGAAUAUAUAUUAGCAGAUCCAUUUAUCCCGUACACUUCAAUUGUUGGUAGCAUUUUUGCUUGCAAGAUGGUAUGUUUUUCAUCGUUACUGCAUGGUGGUAUUUACUAGAAAAUAUUUUGAAUGCAUAGUUUUUAUUUAAUUAGUUAUAAAUUUUUAUACCCUUUUUUUCAUAAGAAUGCGUUCCUUUUCAGGUGUAUGAUCUUGCCCAAUUGAUUAGUGCUGUUCACUUUAAAAGUUAUUCCAGUUUCUCUAACGUACAGCGGGUUGAGUGGAGUAACAGGUGAUUGAAUAUUUUCAUUUAGUUCAAUUGACAUUUCUUUUUCAAUCGGUAAAGUUUAAUCAUUUCUCUUAAAUUGACAACUUAAGCAGGGCCAUAGCAACCGUCCAUGCCAUUUUUAUUACAGCUAUGUCUUUGUACUUCGUGUUUUGGUCGGAUCUCUUUUCGGACAACCAACUUGCUAGCCUUAUUACAUUCCGUAGCUCUUUUCUGUCUACAUUCACAUUGGGGGUGAGUUCACCAUUUCCUGUUAGUUUUUAGUUAAAUUACAAAUUUUACCAGGUUUUAAGUUCUGGCAUUCCCAUCUGUUAUCUUGCCCUGAGAAUAUAUAUAGGAUAUUGUCUUAUUGAAGCCUGAAUCUUCCCAGUAGUGGAAAGUAUAAAUAACAAUUUGAAAUUAUUUUAGCCAUCAAUGUAACAGCUGGCAAAUUUCUUCUAGCUUGUUUCUUAAAUCUAAGGUUAAUUUUCCCGUGGUGACAGACAAACCAGUCAUGGUUUAUCUAGAUAUUUUAAUACAUGAUUUCAGUAUCAGGUAAAGAAGGAAUCCGUAUCUAUUUCUUUCCAGUUGGUGUUGAUAAAAAGGAAAAGUCAUAGUACUCUCCUUUUCAUUCCUUGUGAUUCCAUUUUACUUAGUAAUAUGAUUAGAAAUGAGUGGAAAUAGGUUGUGGAGGGCUGCAUUAUUAUGGCUUCUUUCAAUAGAACACUAAAUAUUCCCUAUUCAAGGGAAACUUUUUGCAAGGGAAAUUUUCUAAAGGAUAAUAAACUUUUUUUCUUUUCAAAAGAGAAAGGGUAAUUAUUAGUACAUUGAUAUCUCAACAAAAUGGUAGAACCUUUCUUUAUACCACUAAGACAUUUGUCGCAGGUAUGCCUACAUAAUCAGUGUCCUUCAAAACUUUCAAGGAGUUAGCAAUGCCGAACCCCUGAAACACUAAGGUGGCGUUUGUUUUUUAACUUAAUGACUUAAAGUGAAUUAACUUAAUUAAUUAAGUUAAUUAGAGGUGUUUGUUUUUAUAACUUAAUGAGACUUUUUAGAUGAUUUUGACUUAAGAAAAUAAGCCAAUUUUUUUAGCUUUUUACUUAAUGGAGAAAUCUGAAUUAAGUCAAUUACUUGCUAAUGUCAAAACUAUCCAUGUUUUAUAAUUUAUUUUUCAUGUCUAUCCCAAAAUUCACCCAUAGACAUUUAUCCCACAUAAAAAUAUCCAUAUUUUUUAUUUCUUAUAUUAUAUACGAUAAAAUUUAAAAUUUAUGGUAUUUUAUAUAUUAAAAUUUCAAAAUAAUUAUGUAUUCACUUGAAUAUAGUUUUACUUAUAAAUGUUAAAAUAUUGUGGUAUUUAAUAUAUUAUUUAUUUGGCAUUCAAAUUUAAUAAGGAUACAAAUGUAAAAGUACAUAUUUUCAACUUUUUAAGUUGAAAAAAACAAACAACUUAAUACUUAUUUUCCGAGAUUCAGACGAAAAAAACAAACAUAUUAUUCAGAUUCAGACAUUCAGAUCUAUUAAAAAUUCAGUCUAAUUUAAGUCUAUUUAGAUUUUAGAUAAAAAAACAAACGCCACCUAAAUCUCAUAGGAUCAACUCUUUACCUCUAGACCGAAGGUGUGACACCCAGACCCAAUUAGGGCUUAGAAAACAUAUCGAAUCUGAGUGAAACUAAAUGCCUGUAAAUCCAAAUCUCCAAAAUAUCAAAAAGUCAUCUAAUUUCUCUUUUCAUGUAUUUCACAAAAUUUUGAAAAAUUCAUUCUCAAUCAUAAACUAUGCACAACUAAUUAUUCAGCAUAUCAGCAUAGAGCAAUACUUCCUCAUAAGCAAAUAAAUCUUACAAUCCUUCUUCCAUGAUUUAAAAAAAAUACUAAUAGAAGUCUUCUAGAUACAAACAUAAACAUAAUUCAACUGUUUAAAACUAUGCCAAAACACAAGCUUCAAUCAGUAAUACAUACGACUAAUUAUUAAAAACAUCUAGGCAGAAACCUUACGAAAGCUCAAUCCUUCCGAAGCAUUCUUCAAAUUAAUAAUUGCAACCAUCUGUGAAAAAUAAUUGACAAGGAGUCAGCUGUGAAUUCAAUCAGUAGAAACAUUCGUAACGAACAAAAAGAAUUCUUUGUGCAAUAUUUUCAGAAAAUUCAUUUAACCUUUCAAAUGAAACAGAGUAAUUUUUCUAACGCAUCAGGAUUUAUAUAAAACACAAACGUUUCAGACAGAAGCUGUGUGGAAUGUAAAUUUUGCUUCUUUAAACAGAAAGUUAUAUAUUAGUUUGAUUUUAAAGGGAGGUUAUUGGGAAGUUAAAAUUGGCAGUUGUGGGAAAAGGGUAAUAGCAGUUAUAAAAUCUGUUUUAAAGCAAAUUCAAAUCAAGUUUCAAAUUUUAGGAGUACUUAAUUCAAUAAAAUAAGGAAUAAAUAAAGCUUUCAUUGAAACAAAACUAAGUAAAUUCAUUUAAAGCAAAACAGGAUGCGAGCAUUACAUAAGGGUUCUUGGCCAUACCAUGGUUACCCGCAGUCAGACAUCUGGGACCUUGUUAUUUGGAGACAAGACUUGAUUGUGCCAUGUUUUCCGCAGCUAGACACCUAUGGAUAAGAGAAGCCUAAGCCUAUUGAGAAUAAAUUCUGUAAUCCAAGACUCUUCAGUUCUUUCAUUUGUGGCUAAUUAGUUAUAAAAUUUGUGAAUUACAUGCCCCAUGCCCCUUGCAAAAUGUUGUUUAUAUCCUUAAGAUGCCCGUGGAUGAACUGAAAUAAUAAAAUAUAGAAGACAGACUUAAUGCCGAUAGCAUUUCUUAAGAAAAACUUGGGAUGUUUAUAAUUUUCUUAGAGCAUUUGCUGAACUUUCUGUGAUUGCAGUCGAGACGGGUGACCGCUACUUCCCUCAUUGCUCACAAGUGGUUAAUGACUUUUUGGAUGCUUCCCUCCUAGAAAAGAGUACUCUUGAAGAGCAGAAACUUAAAGUAGACAUGCAAGAGGCACUCCCCAAGGACGUGGCUUAUCACCGUCGUUCAGGGCUGCCAUCAUCCUGGUCGGCAUUUUACAAGUACAUGGCUGAGAGCAAUCAGUCGGCAUUUUACAAGUACCUGGCUGAGAGCAAUCGUUCAGGAAGAUAUUUGACAUUUGGAAAACUAAAGGAGUUGAGUGAGCUCGAUUGGUAUUUGUAGUUUCUUUUUUUUUUUUUUGCCUCAAGUGAUCUGGCAUGUAUCAAUUAGUUUGUAAAGUUAUUGUAUUGUCUCAAGUCCGGUGAGAUGCGCGAACGUAUAGCAUGGAUCACAAACUCAUUUCAUAGAAUAUUUUUGUGUAUAAUUAUAUAAUUUAUAGGCUAUGCUUAAAAAAUUAGAAAAAGGGAAUUGUAUUGCAGUUGGUAUGAGGCAUGCAUGCGUAUGUCAUAUCAGUUGCUGAACAAACUUUGCCUUUUAAUUUUGUAGGCAUUACUAUCUCAAAUUUUCUAUUAUCAUAAAUGAGUUUUUUUUUUUUUUAACAAAUCAUAAACGAGAUUAAGAUAAUCUUUUUUAAAAAAAAAAGAAGACAAAUUUAGAAAGUAGUGAGAGAUGGAGAAAUAAAGUAAUUAUAUUCAUAAAUAUAAUGUUUUUGGUGCAGCGACACAAACUAAUAAAUUAUAGUUUAUGAGAUUAGUUUACAAAAUCUUACACUCUCUAGACUUCUCAUUUAGGUGCCUUUUCUGGAACCUCUCCAGCCAUAAACACAUUUUUAUUAAACAAAACAGAAAAAAAAAAUUAUAUAUAGCUGUUCAUAAGGACUAUUUCUUUUGUACAGAAUACACAAUUGGCCACUAAAAUUAGUUGAGGAGAAAAUUUACACGAGAUGAGUACAUUACAUUAUCAGUAUUUUUGUCUAAUUUGAACGCACGUUUGUUUUAGGAAUCUUACUAGAAUGGUCUCUCAUAAAUUUUUCUCCAAUUUGAGAGAGAGUGGGGACUAGGUUAAAGUGCAUAUACGUAGAAUUAAUUAAAAUUAAAUUUAUUUUUUAAAACUAUUUUAACUAGAAGUAGUAGCAAUUCUUUUUAUUAUUGUUAUUCCAAUUAUAUCAAAAUCUCGUGACUCGUGAUCAAAUUAAGUAGUUCAUUAAAUUUUUUUAGGUGACGUACGGUAUGGAGUUUUUAUAAAGCUAUAUAAAUAGCAAAAUAUUUAAUUUUGUUUGUCGUAAACUUUUAAUUUGCCUGGGUUAAAAAAAAGAAAAAAAAAUGAAAAAAGAAAUUGACUUAUGAAUUAAUUAACAAUUAUAGAAAGAAUAAAUAGAAAACUAUAGUUGCGUGAGAAAACUCUCGCGAAAAGGGGCUCCAGAUUUCCUUUCCCUGGCUUCGUGCGUUUCCUGUUUGCCCUUUCGAGCACGAAUUCGAAUCCAAUACUUAAUAAUAAGGAUAUAAUAUUAUUAUAAUACUAAUAAUUAACAUUAAAAUAUUAAAAAUAAGGAAAAAAAAUCCAAAUUUUUAGUGGUAUAUAAGAUAACGCAGGGCCAAAGCGAUAGCGAAACAUCAAAUUGUUUUUAUUUCAACCUUCGCGCAACUUCCGGUGACAUAAUUUUUCUCUGUUUCAGGUACAUACAUACCCAAAACUAAACUUUGCAUGUAUCAAUCUUGUAUUUUUGUUAUUCAUUCACACAUCCUUCUUUUCUUUCUUUUCUCUUUUGCUGUAAUUUUUUAUGAAACACUCUUCUGUUUCAGUUCUGUUUCUGGUUUUGUUUCAGUUUAAUAUUAUUGGUUCCGUUCGGGUCUGUUCUGCUCUGUUCUCUGUUGUAUGUAUAUGUGUAUAUGUUUUUGGCCUCGAAUUGCUUUGAUCACCGGUUUUGUUAUUCAUUUAUCGUGAAUUUUAGAUACCCGUUAAACUUGUUUGGCCAUGUAUUCACUUGAUUGUUACAUUCAGCUGCCAUUUUCAUGGUGGGUUUGUAAGAUAGUCUCUGACUAGCAUACGGCAUUGAUUAUGAAUGAUGGUUUUGUGAGAUACAUCAUACAGACGUUAACUUGUAUUAACAUUGUUGUGCGCGGAAUGCGGAAUCAAGCGCACCAAAUAAUUAUAGAAAAAUAAAAGACACAAGAAUUACAUGGUUCAGUAAUUAAACCUACAUCCACGGAGGCAAGAAAGAAUAAUUGUAUUAUUAACAAUUAAUAGAGUAUAAAUAUUUGAGUAACGAAUCUCACUUCCCAGAAACUCAAAUAUACCCAGUACUCUCACACUCUGCAGGAAAGAUAAAUUCCCCAGACACACUUCUCUCACUUCUCUCACUUCUCUCAAAAGCUUAAAAACUUAUAAGCUUAACAAUUUUGGGAUGAUAUGGAAUGAAGAAAUGUUCUCUAUUUAUAGGCUUGAAGCUAGUACUAUUCCACCUAACCCAAUCACUAUUCCACCUAACCCAUGCAAAUAUGUCAAUGGUGUCCAUUUGGCAAAUUUGACAAAUUUGCCAACUUUUCAUUUUUUCUUCAAUUGUUUGGUAGCUCUUUGAAAAAUUGCAUGCUUUCUUGAAUUUGCAUGCCACGUGCAUGAUUUUUCAACAAUUCUCCACCUCGGCGAAAAUUUGUCCAAAUCUAAGCCGACUACCAAUGAACCAUCAUCCCUAAGGUGGCUGCAUCUCUGUGACUGCUUACGUACCCAAAAUUUGGGAUCAAGCCAACUGUAGUUCAAAAUUCCCGAAGGACAUAUCUUAACACAAGCGAAGGAUUUGAAUUAGUUUCAAGCAAUGUUGAAACUUAACUCCAGAAACUACCUUCGUCAACAUAUCUUAUGGAUUAUCUUUUGUAUCGAUCUUCUUCAACAACACAUCACCACCUUCGAUAAUCUCCCUCACAUAAUGAUAUUUCACAUCUAUGUGCUUCGUCCGAGCGUGAUAUGUUUGAUUCUUCGCUAGGAAUAUCGCACUUUGGUUAUCACAAAAGACCACAAUGUUUUCUUGGAUUACUCUCAAAUCACCUAACAAGCCUUUCAACCAGAUAGCUUCUUUUACAGCUUCAGUUGCUGCCAUAUACUCUGCUUCCGUAGUGGACAAAGCAAUUGUCGAUUGUAGAAUCGACCUCCAGCUAAUCGAUCCUCCACCCAAUGUGAAUACGUAGCCCAUUGUUGAUCUUCGCUUGUCAAGGUCUCCAGCGAAAUCAGAAUCACAAUACCCAACACAUUGUUGACCACAAUCCUUCUUGAACAAUAACCCAACAUCAAUUGUCCCAUACAGAUAUUGGAGAAUCCACUUUACCGCAAGCCAGUGAUUUUUACCCGGAUUGUGCAUGUAUCUACUAACCAUGCUCACUGCUUGAGAUAUAUCGGGCCUUGUGCAUACCAUAGCAUACAUAAGACUACCCACAACACUAGCAUAUGGAACACGAGCCAUGUAAUCGCACUCCUCUUGAGAUCUAGGACAUGAAGAAGAGCUUAAUUUGAAAUGAGGAGCUAGAGGUGUACAUACCGGUUUAGUUUUGUCAUCCAUACCAAAUCUUUCUAGCACUUUCUUCAAAUAAGACUUUUGAGUCAACCAUACGCUCCCAUUCUUCUUGUCUCUACGAAUCUCCAUCCCAAGUAUUCUCUGUGCAUCACUCAAGUCUUUCAUCUCGAACUCAGAAGCCAACUGCUUUUUUAAUCUUUUGAUCUCAUCUCCAUUCUUUGAAGCUAUAAGCAUAUCGUCGACAUAGAGUAACAAAUAGAUGAAAGCUCCAUCUAGUAGUUUUCUAAAGUAAACACAAUGAUCGUGUUCACUUCUAGUGAAUUCUGCCCUUGUAUAAAUUGAUCAAAUCUUUUGUACCACUGCCUUGGCGAUUGCUUCAGUCCGUACAAAGAUUUAAUCAACCUACAUACAUGAUUCUCCUUUCCAGCAACUCUGAAACCACAAGGCUGAAUCAUAUACAUUUCUUCCUCCAAAUCUCCAUAUAAGAACACCGUCUUAACAUCCAAUUGAGCCAACUCUAACUCAUAUUCUGCAACUAAGGCAAGUAGGAUACGAAUGGAAGUAUGUUUUACAACUGAAGAGAAAACUUCAUUGUAGUCAAUAUCUUCCUUCUGAGCAAAACAUUUUGCCACGAGCUUUGCCUUGUAUCGAGGAGUUGAUUGAUUUAGAGAUCCUUGUUUUUUGGUGUAGACCUAUUUAUUACCAAUAACCUUUUUCCCCUUUGGUAACUUUACAAGUUCCCAAGUCUGGUUUUGAUGGAGAGAUUUCAUCUCUUCCUCCAUGGCUAACUUCCACUGAUCACUUGCACUGAUGCGUAAUGCUUCACCGAAAGUGUUGGGGAUGUCAUCAUCAAUAACUGGAAGUGCAUAGGCUACCACCAUAUCUUUAGUAACCUAUCCGAAUUUCUUUAUCUCUCUUCUUGGCCUCCUUGUUGCUAUAAAAUCAUCAUUAUCUACAUCAUCAAUUGUUUCUUCAUUUUGUGGGACAUCAGAAGAAACAACCUCUUCUUCAACUCUAGGUGUCACCUCCAUAAUUGAACUGAAACAACCCGCCCCGAACCCCCAGGGCGAGUCUAUCUAAACUCGUAUAAUCAAAUCGAUAUUAUUUAUGAUAUCUAAGAAUUCUAUUAAAAAUUCGGCAGAAUCUCCCUUAUAAAUAAAACAUCCCCAAACCUGCAAUUUACAAAACCAUACUCCCAAAAAUAAUUCAAUAUCCAUCCAACUCUCAUAACCAACUUCUCAAGUUAACAUAUCAAAUUUCAUCAAAAUCAUUCUAAUAUUAAAAUACAUGGGUUAUCCUUAAUUACAAAAUAUAAUAAAUCAAAAUUGUUAAAUCUACGACUCUUAGCACCAUCACGUGGCCACAAUUUCAAAACUAACAUUCGUUACUGGGUCAACUGAUGUACCUGCAAAUCUCCUGUGGGGGGAAAAAUAUAAUAAAAACGGGGUGAGUAUAAAACUCAGUGAGCUCAGUGAUUGGAUAAUAGUUUUUGGAAAAAUAAAUAAAUUUAUUUAAAAUGACUUAAUCUUUCCCAAAUCAAUUUCUCAAAUCAAUUUCAUCAAAAUAUCAUAAGAACUUACAUAAACUUAUUUAAUUCAAAUCAAUCACUGAAAUUCUAUAUUACAUAAAUCUACAUAGAAUCGAUGGAAUCAUAAUACUUAUCAUAUCAAAUACUGAAUACCAAAAACUAUCAUCAAACAAGUACCCAGAGGAAUGAUCUCAUCAUAUCCGGACCUCGACGGACGGGCAAUCAGGGAACCAUCAUGCCCCGGAGCUACAACAGAUAGAUGGGGAAAAUCUCAUCUCAUAUCUCAUGUAUCUCAACAUCUGUAUCUUUGUAAUCAUCAUACUGCAUGCAUAAGCCCCCAAAAGGCAAAAGCGCCCAAACACACGGUCCAAAGCCUCUAUGUGUGUUCAGACGGGCCCCAAAGGCGUCUAUCUCAUCUCAUCUGUAUCUCUGUAUUCAUCUCAUAUUAUCUGUAUCUCUGUAUCUAGAGGGGAAGGGUACUGUCCAAUGAUUUUCCAAACAACAUUUAUACUCAUGUACAUAAACAUAUAAUCACAUCUGAAAUCUCAUUUUCUUUCUAUGCAACAUAUCUCAAAUCUGCUCAAUUCUAAUAUCAUGCAUAAAAUCACUAAUCAAACUCAUUCUUAGUAACAAUAAAUAUCAACACAUAGAUAAAAAUCAAUUUUCUAGAAAAUCAUUAAAUCGAAGCAUCAAAUACUUAUUUAUCAAAACAUAAUGCACUGUAUCAUAAAAUCAGCAUAUACUAUGAAAAUAGAUUUUGCAUAUUCCACUCACAGUGAUGAUGUCCAGACUCGGUAUCAACAACGUUUGCGGUUUGAUUCUCGUUCGCAGAUCCUCCUAAUCAAGGAAACGCCAUAAUCAUUCUCCGUAAACUUGAAAUACAACUAAUUUUAUAUAAUAAAUCUGGAAACGAAUAUCUAUCAAAUACCCCCAACAUCAUUAUUUUACCAAAUUAUCCUCAGAAUCUUCAAUUACUAAAUGGUCCUCAAUUUAGAUCACAUAAAUAACCACAAUGUCAGAAAUUACGAAAUUACCCUCGGAGCAUAAAUUUACCAAAAUGUCCUUAACGACUUAAAUUACCGAAUUACCCUCGAAAUCUCAAAUUACCUCACUGCCCUAACUUAAAAUUACCAAAUUAUCCACUGAUUCCAUAAAUUAUAAAUUCACCCUAAAGUUUUAUGAAUUUACCGAAUUGCCCCUGCCGGUAAACGGUGACCGGACUUCAGUCAACGACGACGGGAAGCUUAGGUCUGAUAGUUUAGACCUCGGUGAGUCCAAUGGUGGUGGCCGUGAGUCCCCACGAGCGGUGCCGGCGGCGGAUCAAGCUUCCUAGGCCGUGAGCUUUCAAAGUGGCUGAUCGGCGGUAAUCCGGCCGUUUCGGGUGACGAGGUUGGUCGGAAAAUGAUGCUGGUAACGUGAGGAGUAGAAACCAACUGGAAGUGUGCCCAAACUCUGGCAAAAUCGACGGCGGCGAAAACGGGCCUUGGCCGCGAGUUUUCGAGCUUAAUCGCCAGCGUUUUGGUCGGUUUCCGGUGACGAGGACGGCGGGGUUAUGACGGUCGGCUUCCAAGCUUCAGAUCGGUACCAAGCUCGGCCGGUGAGGUGGCCAGAAUCGGGAGAUCCGUCCGGGUCAAUGUCGCGAGUCGGGUCGGGUUUGCGGGUCAAAAAUCGGGUCAAACACUCACUCUCUCUCUCUCUCGUGCCUCCUCUCUCUCCUUCCUUUCUAAAAAUAGUUUCCCCCCCUUUCCAUAUAAAAAAAAAACCGACUUCUUCUUCCUUUUUUUUUUCUUAAGCUUAAUACAAAUUAAACUAAUACCGGACCCGUGACGAAAAUAAAAUCCAACUAUUCGAACUUUUAAUCGCACUCAAAUUAUCUCGAUUUAAUGUCGUGACAAAUUUUAAAAUUAAUAACGAAGAGGAAAAAUUAAAUCAUACACUUAAUUAAGAAAAAUCAAAGUGCAUAUGUUACAUGAACCCUUAUUUAAUGUAGAACUAACUGGUACAUAUGGAGUUGCAUCAAACUCCACCCACUGUAAUACCUCUUUGGUCUUAUUCUCCACCUGUUGAGAAUUUGAAGCUUUCAUCAUUGAAGCUUCAUCAAAUGUGACAUCUCUUUUACACACAAACUUUUUGUCUUCGAGAUCCCAAAGCUUAAAGCUCUUUACUCCACCUUUGAAUCCUACAAAGAUAGCUUUACUAGCACGAGGAUCCACUUUACCAUCUUUGACAUGAUAAUAAGCUGAACACUCGAAUAUACGAAGGGAAUCAUAGUCUUGUGCAUGCUUUCCAGACCACAUUUUCAUAGGAGUUUUACCUCCAAUUGUAGCAGAAGGCAACCGGUUUACCAAGUGACUUGCGUAACUCACAGCUUCAACCCAAAACUUUUUAUCUAAACCAGCAUUAGAUAACAUACACCGUACUUUCUCCAGUAAAGUACGAUUCAUACGCUCAGCCACACCGUUCUGUUGCGGAGUAUGUCUCACCGUGAAAUAUCUUUUAAUACCCUCGUUCUGGCAUACUUGCAAGAAUGGAUCAGAAGUAUAUUCACCCCUAUUAUCAGAUCGUAAUACUUUGAUCUUUCUGCCAGUUUGAGUCUCCACCAAUUUCUUCCAUUUCACGAAAAUCUCUAGAACUUCAUCCUUUGCUCGCAUGGUGUACACCCACACACGUCUAGAGAAAUCAUCAACAAAUGUAACAAAAUAAUGGCUUCCACCAAUUGAUGCAGUCUUGGUUGGUCCCCAUACAUCACUAUGAACAUAUUCAAGGAUCUCACGAGUAUCGUGAUUAACUGUACCAAACUUGACCCUUGUUUUCUUGCCUACUACACAAUGCUCACAGAAAUUUAAUUUACAGGUUUUGGUACCUUUUAAGAGUCAGUGCCUCAUCAGAGUUUGCAAAGAUUUCUCGCCAGCAUCUCCCGAUCGUAAAUGCCAUAGCUUGGUGGUGUCACUGUGCGCCUCAACAAUAUUUGCUUCAUCAGUUGUACCUCCCUUUAUAUAGUACAAACUGUGACGUCGAACCCCUUGUAGACUCACCAUAGCCCCAUGUGUAAACUUCAUUGUGCCAUCUUCAAUGGUAACCUUGUAGCCUUUAGCUUCCAAAGCACCCACAUAAAUUAGAUUUUUCUUUAAAGCUGGAACAAAUCUAACCUCUUUGAGUUCUCUGACCAUUCCAUCAAACAUUUUGAGCCGAAUUGUUCCUAUCCCCAUUGUGCGACAAGGUUGAUCAUUCCCCAUCACAACUGCACCGGAUUCCAGAUCAUGAAAAUCCGUAAACCAUUCCUUAAUAGGACACAAAUGAUAGGUUGCUCCAAUAUCAAGUAUCCACUCGCUCGAACUAGCCACGUAUGCUGCAGGAGUAAUACUUAGUGAAUAAUCAAAGUCCUCAUCUUUCCGUGCCAUAUUUAUUGCUGCUGGUUUCUUCCCAUCUCUCUUUUGAGCCUUUGGACAAGCUUUCCUCCAAUGGCCCUUUUCAUGACAAAAGGCACACUCGUCUCGAGCUAUAUUUCUACUUCUCGAUUUGGAUCGAGAAUUCUUUCCACCACGCUUUUUCUUUUUCUCCAUCGCCCAAUCUCUGCUCACCAAAGCUUCAGACGAUGCUCGUUCAGAAUUUUUAUUAUUAUUCCGAAUCUCCAAGUUAGUCAAUGCUGUGCAAACAUCUUUGAAGAUGAUCACACUUUUCUCAUAUAUCAAGGUAGUCACAAAAUGGCUAUAUUCCUCUGGUAGUGAGUGUAACAGAAUCAUAGCCUUGACUUCAUCCUUAAUAUCUUCAUCAAGAUUCUUCAAAUCAGCAAGUAACUUUUCAAAUCUUGAGACAUGAUCGUAAAUUGACACCCCAUGCUUCAUUCGAAAGCCAUAUACUUGGCUCAUUGCAUGAAGGCGAUUUUUAGGACUUUUUAGCAAGUACUUCUCCUCCAAUGUACGCCACAAAGUCAUCGCACACUCCUCAUCCUUCACCAAGUAUUUCACCUCCUUAGUCAAACAAGAUCUGAUAUGACCACAUGCUUUUUUAUUCAUACAAUCCCAAAUUUCUUCAUCAUACAAGUGUCUUUUAUUUUUCAGAACAACAUCCAGAUCGAUUUGAAUAAGGGCGUCCAUAACUUCGCGCCUCCACAUGCCGAAGUUGAUUUUCCCAUCAAACUUUUCAACAUCGAUUUUCUGGCCUCCUAUAACAGGCGUUGAAUAGCGAUUUGACAAAUCUCGCCUCCCACCUGAAGUGUCUCCUGAAAUAGUCUCGGUAGAUCUCUCCCCAAUUCUGGAAGUUUCACCUUCUACCAUUUUCUCAACGAACUAUUUCCACUUGAAAAACAGUCUCUAUGAUGUUAAUUUCGCGUGAAUAAAUGCACUAGGAAAGUUCCCAGGAGACUGGACGGGAACUCAGUCCUAAUUAAAAACCAGAAUCCUUAGACUCUUAUCGCCUUUGUUGACAGAACUUUUCUAGACAUGCAAAAAUACACACUACUUACAAUAGACUGUCUCCCAAGUACAAAUGGUCGUCUCCACCGUAUUCGUGAACAGUACCAUAUACGUGAAUAGUACCGUAUACGUAAACAAUACCGUAUCCCCCAAGUACGAACCGUCGGCUCUGAUACCACUUGUUCUACCCGGAAUGCGGAAUCAAGCACACCAAAUAAUUAUAGAAAAAUAAAGGACACAAGAAUUACGUGGUUCAGUAAUUAAACCUACAUCCACGGAGGCAAAAAAUAAUAAUUGUAUUAUUAAUAAUUAAUAUAGUACAAAUAUUUGAGUAACGAAUCUCACUUCCCAGAAACUCAAAUAUACCCAGUACUCUCACACUCUGCAGGAAAGAUAAAUUCCCCAGACAUACUUCUCUCACUUCUCUCAAAAGCUUAGAAACUUAUAAGCUUAACAAUUUUGGGAUGAUAUGGAAUGAAGAAAUGCUCUCUAUUUAUAGGCUUGAAGCUAGUACUAUUCCACCUAACCCAAGUACUAUUUCACCUAACCCAAGCACUAUUCCACCUAACCCAUGCAAAUAUGUCAAUGGUGUCCAUUUGGCAAAUUUGAGAAAUUUACCAACUUUUUAUUUUUUCUUCAAUUGUUUGGUAGCUCUUUGAAAAAUUGCAUGCUUUCUUGAAUUUGCAUGCCACGUGCAUGAUUUUUCAACAAACAUGUACUUCCUUCAUUUAAAAGAUUAGUGUUUCUCUCUCUCUCAAUUUUUUUAAGAAAAAAAAUGAAAUGCCCCUUUUCGCAUUUUCCAGUUUCUCCAACAUACAGCGGGUCGAUGUGGAGUAACAGAUGAUUGAAUAUUUUCAUUUUAGUUCAAUUGUCAUUUCUUUUUUAAUCGGUAAAGUUUAAUCAUUUCUCUUAAAUCGACAACUUAUGCAGGGCCAUAUCAACCGUCCAUGACAUUUUUAUUACAGCGAUGUCUUUGUACUUUGUGUUUUGGUCGGAUCUCAGAGUUUGUGCAUAGCACACUUGGUUCUACUGUUUGUUUGUCCCUUCACAGGCAUUUCGAUAAACUGUUAUUUUUGUUCUUUGGAAGUGAAUAUUUUCAGCAACUAGAACUCCGAAGCAUCUUGAAUGAUCCAUUUUAUGAUUCUCAAUACCUAUAAAAGAAUGUCAUAGAAAACAGUUUCCAAAGCAAGUUGCAUGUGUUUUGAAUUUGUCUUUGCAAGCCACUAGUUGCUUGGAGCACACUGUUAGCCUAUCGUGAUCCCAACCACUUUUUUGGAUAGACAAUUGUGCAUCCAUAUGAUCUGGACUAAACUAGUUUCUAAUAAAUAAUUGCCCAAGGAUUUAGUCUCAGUGUUACAGCCUAGUCUUUGUUGUCAAUACUCUUUCCCCUGUCGUGGAUGAGCGCCAUAACAGCUUCUUAAUGUUUUCCAGUGGCUUUUGCACGGUUGUUGUUUCCUUCUGAAGCUAGAGUAGCUACGGAUAGAGCGGAUGCAGAUGCCACCAAUUUUUAUGAUGGCCUUUCAGCAUCAAAAUCAAAAGGAUCAAGUGGGAACUUAAAGGAGGUUUAUUAGAAUGAAACACCCUCUAUGCAAGCCAAGAGACUCCAAUUAAGACUGCAAGCUCUGCUUAAAACAGGUAUUUAUCUCAACAAAAUGUUAGAACCUUUGCACCACUGGAGACAUUUUCUUCGAGCAUUUACCGGACUUUCUAUGAUUGCAGUGUAGACGGGUCGACGCUACUUCCCUCGUACUCGUUGCUCGGAAGUGGUUGAUAAGUUUCUGGAUUGUGAUUGGUCCGAUGCUUCCUUCCUCGAAAAGGGUACUCCUGAAGAGCAGAAACUCAAAAGGACACGCUUCAUGGAACUCAAAGAAGACGUGAAGAAGGCAUUUUACAAGGACAUGGCUGAGAAAAAUCGUUCAGGUUUGUCGUCAUCCACGUCAUCGUCAUCUUCUCCAAAGGAAGGAGUAAAGUGUAAGGGUAGGAAAAGGUGAUGCUUAGCUGCUUGUCUUUGUAUUCAUUUAUAGGAAACUAAGAGAGUUUUACUGAGUUUGAUUGUUACUUGUGGAGAGAUACUCUUAGAGCCUAUGUUAUGGCUAUGUUGUAAAAUAGCAGAGGAACUUCAAGCUUGCAUUGUUGUAUUUUCCCAGGUAUUUGGAAUGUAAUAUACUAAAUGACAGAAUUUUCUAAUUUUAGAGGGGAAAAAUAUGUCAGUGAAUUAUUUGUUUAUUUUAUCUGUUUAAAUCACUUUAUAAUAUAGCUUUUUUUUUCAAAAAAAAAAAAUCUCCAUAUCUUCAUCUGAAAACUCGAGUCAUGUGUAACUUCUUUCAGGGAGAAAAAGGGGGGAAAGAAAAGGCAUUUGUACCUGUAUUUUACAGUACUGACUCUCAUACAGAAAUUGGUUGAGAUGACAUUAAUGUUCUUCGAAAUAGAUGAAUAUGCAGAAUUUUCAUCGAAAUUGAAAUUAGAAAUGGAUGGAUAUGAAUUAUAUAUAUGUAGAACUUUUUAACAGAAUUUUUAUCUAAAAAUUUGUUGCUCAUUACCCUCCCGAAGAAAUAUAAAAUUUUCAAUUGUAGAUAUUAAAUUUUAAAUUUAUAAUAUAAUAAAUGUGACUUGAGGUGCACAUCACCCAUAUAAUAAUAAUUAAGAAAAGAAAAUACAAAAUUUGUAAAUUACCAAUUUUUUAAAUUUAAUUAAUUUUAUACCCAAAUUCUCAUGCUCAACGGCCGCUAGAAUUGGCUAUUGUAAUUUUGCCAUCCUCAUUAUUCACUGGCCAUUUUUGGACCACAACAUAAUAAAAAUAGCAUUGAUUAAUACUAAUAAAUUUCUUUUGAUUAUUUUGUUGUGUGAUGAUCUAGUGAGUACAAGUGUCCAUCAUAGCACCUGAACUGCUGAACAUGUGGUAACAUUCUGCGAUUCUCUAUAAAAUAGUAUUUAAAUUGUGUAUUAACUAGACAGUUCUAUAUAGACAAUUGUCCACUAAAUCAUUACUUUAUUUUGUAUAUAUUUAUGAUAAUUGUUGAAGAAAAAUGUAAAGUGAGAUUAAUGAACAUUAAUGAAUGUGGGAAAUUAACACAACUAGGAUUUAUGAUGAAAUAAUUUUAUGUCAAAUGAGUGAGUGAAUGGAUGUUAAAAAACUUGUAAUAUAUAUUUUUUGAAUUGUUAUAUAAACAAGUUCAUCACUAACAAUAAAUUGAAUUAUGAAUUGUUUAAUAAUUCAAAAUCUCAUUCACCCUUCAGUGUUUAUAGUAUUUUUUAGAAUACAAAAUUGUAAACAACCUCACCCUUAAAUGAUAUAAUGAUAAAAUAAUUUUAUGUCAAAUGAGUGUAAGUGAAUGGAUGUUAAAAAACUUGUAACAUAUAUUUUCUGAAUUGUUAUAUAUGCAAGUUUGUCACUAACAGGAAAUUGAAUUAUUAAUAUUUUAAUAAUUCAAAAUCUCAUUCAACCAUCGGUGUUUAUAAUUUUUUUGAGAGUACAAAAUUAUAAACAACCUCAUCUUUAAUAAUAUAAUGUUAAACCUUUUCAAAAAUUUAUUCCAUUAUAGUUGUCUUAGUCAGUUAUACUUAUUCCAAAUUGAAGAUAAAAAUAGUACUUCAUAUGUCAUACAUUACUUAAAGAAAUUUUUUUAUCAACUUAUGAGCUAGAGAAAGAAUGCAAUAAAUUACGUCUAAAAUUGUAAAAUUAAUCAAUCACUAAAUAAAUAUAAUGUUAUAUGUGUAUGUGUAUAUAUUACACAAACUCUGAAUCUCAUGAGCUAUCUUCGGAUGAUGUAUCAUACUCAAAAAUCUAUUUUUGCUAAUGAUUAUACUAACAUUUAAAGGUCUCUCUAAGCUACAUUGUAAUUCCAAUUCUUGUGGCUGCCUUCCAUUGCCAACUGAACCAGCUCCGCUCUCCCUGCAUCCAGAGAGUGGUAAGGUAAAAUCUUGAUAAUGUCUGUCUCGAGAAAGAGCUUCCUGAUGAAGUUUCAAGUGAAAUCAAAUCACUCCGUGUCAAAUCUAACCAGGAGUGUGAAGCGAAUAUAGCAGAAGUGGAUCCUAUGCAUGCAACAAGAGUCAGAGGAAUCCACGAGGCACUGGACUCUUAUGACUUUGAACUGUUGAAGCUUCUUCUGGAUGAAUCUAAUGUCACUUUGGAUGAUGCUUAUGCUCUGCACUAUGCUGCUGCCUACUGCAGCCCUAAGGUUUUUAAGGAAGUGCUCAAUAUGGACUCGGCUGGUCUCAAUCUUAAGGAUGCAAGAGGACAUACGGUGCUUCAUGUGGCUGCAAGGCGUAAGGAGCCAGCAGUGCUGGUGACUCUGCUGAGCAAGGGAGGAUGCGCAUCAGAAACUACAUCAGAUGGGCAAACAGCUGUGGCAAUCUGUCGGAGAAUGACAAGGAGAAAGGAUUAUAUUGAAGCUACAAAGCAAGGGCAGGAAACUAACAAAGACCGGUUAUGCAUUGAUGUCCUUGAGAGAGAGAUGAGAAGGAACUCCAUGUCUGGGAACUUGGCACUGUCAUCAGAGGUGAUGGCUGAUGAUUUCCAAAUGAAGCUGAACUAUCUGGAAAAUAGAGGUGAUAUUUCUUUACUGGUAUUAGUUCAUCACCUUCUCAGAGUUUGUGCUAUGCACACUUCUUUCUACUGUUUGUUUGUUCCUUCAUCUUAGCAUCUCAAACAUUGCUGUAAAUGGGAUAACUACACAGUCUACACUUGUGCUAGCAUCAUGACUUUUUGAUGAACUGUUAUUUUUGUUAUUUGGAAGUGAAUAUUUUCAGCAACUAGAACUCCGAAGCAUCUGGAAUGAUCCAUUUUAUCAUUCUCGGUACCUAUAGCAGAAUGUAAUGGAAAACAGUUUCCAGAACAAAUCGCAUUUGUUUUUGGAAGCCAGUAAUUGCUUGUGGCAAACUGUUAGCCAGCCAUAAUUCCAUCCACUAUCUUGGAUAGGCAAUUGUGUAUCCGUAUGUUCUGGGCAUGGGGGUUUCGACUGAACUAGUUUUAAUAAAUAAUUGCACAAUGAUUUAGUCUCAGUGUUACAGCCCAGUCUUUGUUGUCAAUACUCCCCCCCCCCCCCCCCCCCCCCCAAAAAAAAAAAAAAAAUUGAGUUACGAAUAAAUUUUUCCUAUUAUGUAGGAGGGCCAUAAAAGUUUUUAAAUUUUAUCCAGUUUUUUUUGAGCGGUGGCUGUUUCCUUCUGAAGCUAUAAUAGCUAUGGACAUAGCAGAUGCAGAUGCCACCAAUUUUUGUACUGGCCUUUCAGCAUCAAAAUCAAAAGGAUCAAGUGGGAACUUAAAGGAGGUUGAUUUGAAUGAAACACCCUCUAUGCAAGCCAAGAGACUGUAGGCUCUGCUUAAAACAGGUAUUUAUAUACCUUAUUAGUUUUUGUAUCCAAAGAGAGAGGUUAAUUUUUAUUACAUUGAUAUCUCAACAAAAUGGUCUUUUCUUAGAGCAUUUACUGAACUUUCUAUGAUUGCAGUCGAGACGGGUCGACGCUACUUCCCUCACUCCUCCAAAGUCAUUGAGGAGUUUAUGAAUUGUGAUUGGUCUGAUGCUUCUCUUCUGGAAUUUGGUACUCCGGAAGCGCAGAAACUUAAAAGGGCUUGCUUCCACGUGCGGAAGGCAUUUUGCCAGGACAUGGCUUCUGACAAUCGUUCAGGGCCGUCAUCAUCGUCAUCGGCAUUCUUCGUUCCUUAAAAAAAUCAAGAAAAAUUUAGAAAGUAGUGAGAGAUGGAGAAAUAGAGUGAUUAUAUUCACAAAUAUAAUGUGUUUAGUGCAACAAUACAAACUAAUAAAUAAUAAUUUAUGAGAUUAGUUUAUAGAAUCUUACAUAUAAAAUUAUAUCCUCUGAAUAAAAAUCUUCACAGCUCUUUUGACUUCUCAUUUAGAUGCCCUUUCUAAGAUCACUCCAUUUUCUAGGAUCACUCCAUUUUAAUAGGAAGAAUUAGCGUAUCUCCACUUUUCUCCCCCGCCGUUUGUAUACCGUUUGUUACUGUUAAUGGACGAAGCUACAAGUCUUCUCUUUCAUCAAAUCGAUCCAUCACAAAUACAAGUCUGCUGCACCCCACCAAAAACACACAUACUCCAUCUCUAAAUACUUUGAAGAUAAACAAAUCAACCGUAAUCCUGCAACUUUAUCUCAGAGAAUCGGAUAAGAAAAGAACAGGCAAUGAAUCAACGGUAUUGGCGCCGAGUGAGUGUCGCCUGCGGUCGGCGUUAGAGGCGACUGUCACUCAAUCGCGUACAAGGUUAGUCUUUGAAAAAACUCUUUGCAUGUUAGAAAUCAGUGAUUAGGCAUUAUUUUGAUAUUUAAAAAUGAAAAUGGGUUUAUUAGUUUGUCGAAGAAUCUGCUUUGUUGCCGGUGUUGUUUGUCGAUUAAAAUGAAAAUGGGUUUGUUGAUGUGUUGAAGAAGUUGCUCUACUGCUGGUGGUUUUUUUAUUAAUUAAAAUGAAAAUGGGUUUGUUAAUUUAUUUAAGCAGCUGCUGGCAUUGAUGAACUUAUGAGCUAAUAGUAUUGUUUGAUCAAGCUUGUGUUCUUAAUAGUGGAGUUGAUAUUCUUAAAAUGAAUUUAUGAUUAUGAGAAUAUGAAAAUUGAACGGCAUCGUAGAGAUCUGGAUUAAUCACCAUCGCGUAUGUUUCUAAAUAAAGGAAUGAGCAGCAAUCGAUUUGAAAGUUAAGACUUUAGGAAUAUGUAUGUGCAACUGAAUGAAUUAUCAGUUGCUAUCUUGUAAGUCAAUACUAGCAUAUUCCUUAAUGGCAAGUGAAGCUAUUUUAUGUGUAUUGCUGCCUAUCAAAAUGUUUAUGUUUGAAGCUAUCUCCUUUUAGGAAAUUGAAUGCUUCUGUGAGUUCUCUGAUAAGGGCUAUACAACCAGCUCUAACAGAUUCCUUCAUGUGCAUUAAUUAGCUUAAUGAUUUAUUGACCUAUAUCCAAUGUCUAUUCUCCUUUUCUGUAGCUGUCUAGCUUUAUGAGGGUGUGAAGUGAACUUUUGUUUUAUGUUUCAGGACUUGGGAUUAGAGUGUAUAACAUUCAAUAUCUUUUUAUCAAAGAACUGAUAUAUGUUAAUGUAGUGCGAUCUGGUCUUUAUUAGCUUCUUGAUUUGCCAGGAUGUUUGACAACCAUCUUUGACUACGAUUGCCAACAUAUAAGCUGCUACAUAUUGUGUCUCAGGAAUCACAACAAAUUAUUAUCAUAAUAUGGUGAUUUUGAAUCCAAAACUUGGUAGUGUCAAGAAAAUAGACCCCAUGUUUAUUUAUCUUCAUGUUUUGUAUGCGGCUGCAAUAGACUAUUAUAAGUUACUUUUAGUUUUAUCAAGUUUUUUUUCCCCUUAAAUUUCAGUUAUUUCAGCGGCUUCUUUUAAGUGAGUUAAUAGUGUUGUUAGGUUAAACUAAGUUUGGCUUCAUAAGAUUCAUAGUAGAGUGUAAAACUGGGUACAAUUUUGGGUUAAGACAAGUCAAAAGUCUUCUCAAGUAAUUGUUCUGCUUACUGAUUUGGUAAUUGCAACAUUGCUAAAUAGUUCAAUUUGUCCUUUUUUUUUGUUGAAUUUAUUGUAUGUCAUAUUACUUCAUUUAAUUAUUUUCUCAGAUCUUGUAGGUGAAAAUUUCAGCUUCAAAGGCCAAGCUAAUCAUCCAGCAAUUCAGUGAAACCAAGACACAGUGGCUCAUAAAUUGUUGUUGGCGAUCCAGCCAUUCGGGUGCUUGCCAGUCCUAGACGAGAGAACUUUCAACGCGGCGCAUAAAUUGUUGUUGAUCUGUUUUAUAUAUUUUGACCUUUGUGAUUUGUGAAUACAUGGUUUGAUUCCAGUGUUUACAACUUUGAUACUGUGUAUAACUUGAGAAGCAAAUGAAACAAAUAGGAAAUGUGUUUUUAUUUUUUUUAUUCUAUCUAUCUAUUUAUUUUUUGUUUGGAAAUGUAACAAUUUAUAGCUGGCAAAGUAAUAGAGUUGUAUACUUGUAUUUAAUUUAUUAUUAUUAAUUUUAAUGAAUCGGUAAUGUCAUUGUCCAUGGUGUUUUGUCAUUUCGAAAGUACUUAACCCUUCCACGCCAAGGCACAUCACAGCAGCCGAAAAUUUGAGCUUUCAGUUCUUGAUUUUAGCGUGAGGGGUAUCUUUGUCUUUUCAGUAGUCAACAUACGGUCAACAAAACAGUCUACAAACAAUCGGGGGUAAAAUCGGAUAUACGGUGAUACUUUCUAUCAUAGUGGCGAUACGCCAAACCUCAGGGGAGGAAACUGUAAAUUACCCCUUCGCGACCUGUGAACUUGGGUCAAAGCUUUCAUCUUUAAAGCUAAUAGGUAGAUCGCGAUUCAAGCUUCAGUUAUAACUUAUAAGCAUUUCAUUGUGAUUGAUAGUAUUCUCUCUUGAUAUAUAUAUAUAUAUAUUCACUUAAGCCGCUUACCAAUCCUUCUAAAAGCUUAAGCUGUUAGGCGAAGCACUACUUUAUACUUAAAAACACCCGAACCACGAGUAACGUCUACACAUUUAGUGCCACAUCACCCACGUGCGUGGGAUAGAGCCACCACAAGGGUGCGGGCCCCUAACACACGUAGUCUGGAUAUACCUUAAGCCCUGGUUUUAUAUAUAUAUAUAUAUAUAUAUAUAUAUAUAGAUUCAGUUUGAAUAUGGUUCUUGAUGGUAUCAUGGAAAAUGCGAACGAAAAGUCAGCAUCUUUGAGUUUUGUCUCAUCAUAUCUGACUUGUUGGUCCACUAAUCAAUCAACAGGCACUUGUGAUCUUGAUAAUUUGAACUUAAGGAUGCAAAGCACCAAUCCCGAAGAGACAUGGCUUGAAGCUGAGAUUGUUGUUGAGGGCAAAUCAGUGGCGGUUAAUCGCAGCGUAUUGUCUGAGCUCAGUCAAUUUUUUCGUCGGCUUUUUAAUUUGAGAAAUGAUGGUUCUGUCAGUGAGGGGAAACCCAAGUAUCUUUUGACUGAUUUGGUGCCUCAUGGGAAGGUUGGGUAUGAAGCUUUCAAUGAUAUCCUGCAUCGUCUUUACACUGGGAAGCUUAAGGCACCUCCUCCAGAAGUGUCCGCGUGUGUUGAUGAUGCUUGUUCUCAUGAUGCUUGCCCUCCUGCUAUUAAUUAUGCUAUUGAGUUGAUGUAUGCUUCCGCUGCUUUUCAGAUGAAAGAACUCGUUUUUCUUUUGCAGGUAAUUGUGCUUCCCUGCUAUUUGUAUUGCUUAAAUUUAUGCUUCUUGGUAUAGUUUUAACAUAUAUGGGAUUGAAAUCAAUUUCAGUUGUGAAGCAACUUCGGUGGUUCCCAAUAUUAGGCAUUGUAGUAGAUCCAAAAUUAGCUUGUUAAGAAGUGUAGAUACCGUAGAGCCCAAAACUUAGUCUUAUCUUGCAAGAGUCUGUUGUUUUAUUUUGAAAGAGACAAAAGUGAUGAUGAUGGGCAGCGAACUAAAGGAAUCAAUGCUUGCUGACACUGACUCCCAAGAAUGAUAAAAACUAACCAAAAAGGUAUAUAGAUUACAUGAGUCUGAAUUUGAUAAGUGCACCUAUCCUAUCACAAAAGCUUUUGCGUUGAGUUUCUAACCAAUGAAAAUUGUCACUUCUGUCUGUAGGCUUCAUAGAUUUGUUCAAGCCUUCAAGGAUGUCUGGCUGUUACUUACCGUCCAACAAUGGUGCUACAUUUCUAGUGAAUGAUAUGUUAUUCUACAUCUGUAAAUUGCAACUUUGACAAACUUCGCCUUUCCUUUGUUGAUUCACUCGUCUCACUUUUAUUAAAUUGCCCGAUUAUGAAAUGGUCUAUUGGAGACUAGCAUUGGAAGGUUUCUUCUGGAAAAAAUUUUACUUGACCACCAAUUUUCAUUUGGGUGGGUGUCAGUUCAUGCUCUGGCUUGACUGUUCUGUUAUUUAGGUUGUUUUAUCCGUAUUUUCUUCACUCACUUGAUGGUUAGUUCUCUCAUGCUUUCAAGCUCUCAACAGUGAAUGCGAGAGAUUCUCUUUUUUCCCGUCCAGGCUAUAACCUAGCAAAUUGUUAAUGCUGUAGAAUAACAUCUUGUGCAGGCGAGCUUAUGUCUCUGAACAUUGGUCCAUCGGCAUUAAGGUUUAAUAAGCAUGACACUGAACUUCCCCCUCAUUAUUAUUUUCCUGCACAGAUUAUCCUCUUUAAGUAUUUGAAUUUUGAAUAUCUUAUUCUGAAUCAAAACCCUAUCUGUGCUUGUAGCAUUUUAUAUAUGCUUUAUGAUGUUUACCAAUAAUUACCCACUAUGGGGUAUUUGAAUUUUGAAUAUAUUAUUCUGAAUCAAAACUCUAUCUGUCCGUGUAUCUUUGGCUUCGGAGCAUGGUUGAGAAGGCUCUCGUGGAAGAUGUAAUCCCAAUUCUCGUGGCUGCCUUGCAUUGCCAACUGAACCAACUCCGUUCUGUCUGCAUCCAGAGAAUUGCAAAGUCAAAUCUUGACAAUGUUUGUCUCGAGAAAGAGCUUCCUGAUGAAGUUUCAAGUGAAAUCAAAUCACUCCGUGUCAAAUCUAACCAGGAGUCUGAAGCUAACACAAAAGAAGUGGAUCCUUUGCGUGAAAAAACAGUCAGAAGAAUCCACAAGGCUCUGGACACUGAUGAUUUUGAACUGUUGACGCUUCUUCUGGAUGUAUCUAAUGUCACUCUGGAUGAUGCUUACGCUCUGCACUAUGCUGCUGCCUACUGCAACCCUAAGGUUUUUAAGGAAGUGCUCAAUAUGGACUUGGCUGGUCUCAAUCUUAAGGAUGCAAGAGGACGUACGGUGCUUCAUGUGGCUGCAAGGCGUAAUGAGCCAGAAGUGAUGGUGACUCUGCUGAGCAAGGGAGCAUGCGCAUCAGAAACUACAUCAGAUUGGCAAACAGCUGUAGCAAUCUGUCGGAGAGUGACAAGGCGAAAGGAUUGUAUUGAAGCUACAAAGCAGGGGCAGGAAACUAACAAAGACCAGUUAUGCAUUGACGUCCUUGAGAGAGAGAUGAGAAGGCACUCCAUGUCUGAGAACUUGGCAAUGUCAUCAGAGGUGAUGGAUGAUGAUUUCCAAAGGAAGCUGAACUACCUGGAAAAAAAAGGUGAUAUUUCUUUACUGGUAUUAGUUCAUCACCUUCUCAGAGUUUGUGCAUAGCACACUUCUUUCUACUGUUUGUUUGUCCCUUCAUAUGGAAAAUAGAGGUGAUAUUCCUUUACUGGUAUUAGUAAAUCAUCUUCUCAAGAGUUUGUGAGUCCCUUCAUUUUAACAUCUCAAACACACAUGCGCUCAUUGCUUGGGGCACACUGUUGGCCAGUCAUGUGAUUUGAUCCCCUUUUUUGGAAUGGAGAAUUCUGAAUCCAUCUGAUCUAGGCUUCGUGGUUUGCACUGAACUGGUUUUUGAUGAAUAAUUGCACAAGACUUUGUCAUCAAAACUUUCUUGUUUUUUGCCCCAAAAGUAAUGAGGUACAAAAAAAUUUAUGCCUAUCCUGGAUGAGUGCCAUAACAGCUUCUUAAUAUUUUGCAGUGGCAUUUGUACGGUUGUUUCCUUCAGAAGCUAGAGUAGCUAUGGAAAUAGCAGGUGCAGAUACCGCGACUGGCCUUUCAGCAUUAGGUCAGAAAGGACGCCAAUUGAGACUGCUAACUUUGCUUAAAACAGGUAUUUAUAUACUUUAUUAACUUUUGCACCUUUCUAUUUACUGAUUAUCUUUAUAAUUAACUAAUACAUGUAUCCAGGUUUCUCCUUCCAAUUGGAAUUUCUUUAUAGUGCUCUGUUAGGUGUAAUCAGAUGUAUCAAAAGAGAACGGGUAAUUGUUAGUACAUUGAUGUCUCAACAAAAUGGUAGAACCUUUCUUUAUACCACUAAGACAUUUGUUGCAGGUAUGCCUACAUAAUCAGUGUCCUUCAAAACUUUCAAAGAGUUAGCAAUGUCUAACCCCUGAAACACUAAAUCUCACGGGAUCAACUCUUUACCUCUAGACCGAAGGUGUGACACCCAGACCCAAUUAGGGCUUAGAACACGUAUCGAAUCUGAGUGAAACUAAACGCCUGUAAAUCCAAAUCUCCAAAAUAUCAAAAAGUCAUCUACUUUCUCUUUUCAUGUAUUUCACAAAAUUUUGAAAAAUUCAUUCUCAAUCAAAAACUAUGCACAGCUAAUUAUUCAGCAUAUCAGCAUAGAGCAAUACUUCCUCAUAAGCAAAUAAAUCUUACAAUCCUUCUUACAUGAUUUGAAAAAAAUACUAAUAGAAGUCUUCUAGAUACAAACAUAAACAGGAUUCAACUGUUUAAAACUAUGCCAAAACACAAGCUUCAAUCAGUAAUACAUACAACUAAUUAUUAAAGACAUCUAGCCAGAAACCUUACGAAAGCUCAAUCCUUCCGAAGCAUUCUUCAAAUUAAUAAUUGCUACCAUCUGUGAAAAAUAAUUGAUAAGGAGUCAGCUGUGAACUCAAUCAGUAGAAACAUUCGUAACGAACAAAAAGAAUUCUUUGUGCAAUAUUUUCAGAAAAUUCAUUUAACCUUUCAAAUAAAACAGAGUAAUUUUUCUAAGGCAGUCAGGAUUUAUAUAAAACAUAAACGUUUCAGACAGAAGCUUUUUGGAAUGUAAAUUUUGCUUCUUUAAACAGUAAGUUAUACAUUAGUUUGAUUUUAAAGGGAGGUUAUUGGGAAGUUAAAAUUGGCAGUUGUGGGAAAAGGGUAAUAGCAGUUAUAAAAUCUCUUUUAAAGCAAAUUCAAAUCAGGUUUCAAAUUUUAGGAGUACUUAAUUCAAUAAAAUAAGGAAUAAAUAAAGCUUUCAUUGAAACAAAACUAAGUAAAUUCAUUUAAAGCAAAAAAAGGAUGCGAGCAUUACGAUGGGUUCUUAUGUUUACCCGCAGUCAGACAUCUGGGACCUUGUUAUUUGGAGACAAGACUUGAUUGUGCCAUGUUUUCUGCAGCUAGACAUCUGUGGAUAAGAGAACCCUAAGCCUAUUGAGAAUAAAUUCCGUAAUCCAAGACUCUUCAGUUCUUUCAUUUGUGGCUAAUUAUUUAUAAAAUUUGCGAAUUUCAUGCCCCAUGCCCCUUGCAAAAUGUAUUUUAUAUCCUUAAGUUGCCAGUUGUUGAACUGAAAUAAUAAAAAGUGGAAAACAGACUUAAUGCCGAUAGCAUUUCUUAAGAAAAACUUGGGAUGUUUAUAAUUUUCUUAGAGCAUUUGCUGAACUUUAUGUGAUUGCAGUCGAGACGGGUGACCGCUACUUCCCUCAUUGCUCACAAGUGGUUGAUGACUUUUUGGGUGUUUAUGACUUUUUGGGUGUUAAUGACUUUUUGGAUGCGUCCCUCCUAGAAAAGAGUACUCUUGAAGAGCAGAAACUUAAAAUAGACAUGCAGAAGGCACUCUGCAUGGACGUGGCUUAUCACCGUCGUUUAGGGCUGCCAUCAUCCUGGCCGGCAUUUUACCAGUACAUGGCUGGGAGCAAUCAGUCGGCAUUUUACAAGUACGUGGCUGAGAGCAAUCGUUCAGGAAUGUCGACAUCCUCGGCAGCGAGCAAUUAAGCAUAACCUUUCCCUAAAAGCUAUAUUUGACUCCUGGAAAACUAAAGGAGUUGAGUGAGCUCGAUUGGUAUUUGUAGUUUCUUUU